rnacentral:rRNA from 1 species
CCUANGGGGGGCAGCAGUGGGGAAUCUUGCGCAAUGGGCGAAAGCCUGACGCAGCAACGCCGCGUGCGGGAUGAAGGCUCUCGGGUUGUAAACCGCUUUCAGCAGGAACGAAAAUGACGGUACUUGCAGAAGAAGGUGCGGCCAACUAUGUGCCAGCAGCCGCGGUGAUACAUAGGCACCAAGCGUUGUCCGGAUUUAUUGGGCGUAAAGAGCUCGUAGGCGGUUCGGUAAGUCGGGUGUGAAAACUUUGGGCUCAACCCAAAGCCUGCAUCCGAUACUGCUGUGACUAGAGUUCGGUAGGGGAGCGGGGAAUUCCUAGUGUAGCGGUGAAAUGCGCAGAUAUUAGGAGGAACACCGGUGGCGAAGGCGCCGCUCUGGGCCGAUACUGACGCUGAGGAGCGAAAGCGUGGGUAGCAAACAGGAUUAGAUACCCGUNUANUC